GGAGAGGUGGCCGAGUGGUUGAAGGCGCGGCACUGGAAAUGCCGUGUAGGGUAACUUAUCGAGGGUUCGAAUCCCUCCCUCUCCG
rnacentral:tRNA from 1 species